ensembl:lncRNA
GCACACACUUCAUUUACACUCAGAACAACAGGGCCUUACUUCCAACAGGGCCUUAAGUCCAUUCAGUUGUCCUCCUCUACAUUCUGUAUGACUGUUUAAUCCAGGCACUGCUUAGCCAGCUUCUGCACGCCAAAUUUAAUGACAAGGGAGAAAUCACCCUGACAAAAUCUGUACACAGCUCCCCACACUAAAUCACAUAGGCUAAAUCACACACUCUGCCAGCCAUGCUUAGAGUGAAAAGUAAUUCAGUUCAUGAACACUCCCCUUGAUUUGAAUAGGGGGUAUACAAGCUAUUGCCUAUUUAUGAGUCCCCCACACUGCUGCCCAUGGCUGCUGUUCGUAGAUUGUUUUUAUGAUGCACCAGGAGCAUAUUUAAACUUCCCAAUGCAUCCUAAAACAUAAAAUCCCCAUUUCUGUGUUGUUUGCAAUUUUGUUACCCUUCAGUUUUGUGCAGUCUGAAACUUUCUAUGCUUUCUCUUUCACUAGACUGAAUUUCAUCCAAUUUAUUUAUAUAUGUGAUUAGAAGGUUAUAAUCUUGACUUAUUUUUGCAGGAUGCAUCGAUGGCAUAAAUGACAUUUUCAGUAGUCCAACCAUACUAAUAACAUAACCAUGUUCUGUAUAUAAGAACAAUAGAUGAAUUCCCAUCUCAGAGAGGUUUUUUUUAGUUUUGUUUUGUUUUGCAUUUUCAGCUGCUCGUUUAUCUAAUGGUGUCCUUAGCAAAUGUUUGUAUGUUAAGGACCACAUCUCAAUUAACCUGCAUGGUUUUCAAAUGGAAACAGAAAAAGAAGUAUACAACAAGGUUGUCUAUUAAGAAUUUACAGUGAACUGUUGCAAUUUAUUGCCAGCCUCUGAAAAUGGACAAGAGAAAUCACUGCAUUUUGAAACCAAGCAAAAACUAUCCAUUUUUUUUCUCUCCCUGUUGAAUUGGAAGAUAAAACUGGCUAUCUCCUAAAUAAACAGGAGUGAGUUGUUCUACAAUCCUCAGAAUGCUUUUAGCUGUUUAGGGACAAAGUACUGUAUCAUUUUGUCAUUACAUUCAUAGUCCUUCCCAUUUUGAACACAUGGCUGAAUAUCUUUAUAUACUCUCGAUGGCAUAGACUCUUUAACCUUUGAUGUACUGAAGAUCUAACAUGAUCCUUCAUAGAUGCAGACAGAUCUCCUCCUGCCAGGCCUUCACAGAGCUUGCUGGCUAAAGCACAAGAACACCACGUUCUUUUCCAGGUUUAUUAACCAAGCAUGGUCAAAAACCAGAAGGUUGGAUAUAGCUCCACAUAAGGCAGGAAUACAGAGUCAGCACUGUGAUAGACAAACACUUCCACCAGCAGAGGAUUCAUGCAUCUGAAAGUAACGCGAGUACUGCAGACAAGAUGUUUCUGGUUUCCCAACAUUCAGAGCAGGGUUAUUUUCCAGCAAGAUCAGUUCCUCAGUCUGACUCACUGUUGGACCACCACAACAUCUUGCUUUGGCACAGCUCAAGAAAUAAUGCUAGGACAAGAAGCAAUACAAAAGAAAUAGAAGCAUAAUCAUACUCUCACUGACCGCUUAAUACAUCAUUCAUAU